rnacentral:misc_RNA from 1 species
GAUGAAGAACGCAGCGAAAUGCGAUAAGUAAUGUGAAUUGCAGAAUUCAGUGAAUCAUCGAAUCUUUGAACGCACCUUGCACCCUUUGGUAUUCCGAAGGGUAUGCUCGUUUGAGUGUCAUUGUACUCUCACACUUCCGAUCUUUGGAUUGGGAGCGGUGGACUUGGGUGUUGCUGCUUACUGUGGCUCACCUCAAAUCGAUUCGUGCACCUCUUGGUUGGACAUAGUACGGCGUGAUAAGUGUCUUCGCCGGCACCUCAGUAGAGGGUGGCUGAUCGGGAGCUCUGCUGCAAACCGUCCUCGGACAACAACUGACAACUUGACCUCAAAUCGAGUAGGACUACCCGCUGAACUUAAGCAUAUCAAUAAGCGGAGGA